UAGCACAAAUUAAAAAAUAAAUGUGCUGUACAUCAAAAACAUCUAAAACAAUAGUGACAUUUUUGGUCAGGUUCGGAGGAGGAGCGCACUGCUGUGGAAACAGCCUGUAGAUACGGCUCCAAGCGAUCCACCAGCUCUCCUGACAGUGACAGCGAUGUGAUGCUUGAUAUUGCUUUUGGAGGAUGAAGGACCAUGUGUUGGUCAGGAUGCUGUUCUGUCCAUCGUUCUGAAGAACAACAGCAGCUCACCUCGCAGUGUCCUUCUCUACAGCCGGGUGUCAGCCAUUCUCUGGAGUGGACGCUGCAGUAUGAGGACUAUAAGGACCAUCUGGUGGGUCAUGCAGCGCUGAUGCUCACUCUCUCUGACGGGUCACUGAGACUAGACAAACUCUGGCCAAACAGUUCAGCUUCAGGCUGCGCACACCAGACCUCGUCAUCACUCCUGUAUGUAACGCUGUGCUGGGCAGAGAGCUGA
rnacentral:lncRNA from 1 species